CUUCUGGUCCCACCUACAGUGACCAGCUCGGUGUCUCGACCGGGGAGGAGCAGACGUUGGACAGGGGUGUGUGUCCAGCAGGGGACUGUCAGGCUUGGGGGUCUGGCCGCGCGUCCCACUGGGGAUCUCCCUGGGCCCGCUGACCUGACUGUAAUCCCUCCUGCUGGAGCUGGGGAGCUGUCUGUCAGGGCUCGGCCACCUUGACCCUGCCCCUCUGCUCUGGGUUUUGUGUGAACGUGAUGGUGGUGUGUACGUGUGUUUAAGUCUGAGGCACGUCCAGGCCCUUUGCUCGGAAACGGGCUGAGGGCCCGCACAGCCUGAAGCGCUUGGCUGGAAGGGCCCUGGGGGAAAGGUUUUAUUGAGACUUCCCUGUGAAUGGGCUUCCCGAAGCCCGAGGGACGCUGAACUUCCUGACUUUAGUGUUAGCUCAAAAUAUACUGCUUCAGACUCCCUGAUUACUGUUAUGAGUGGGGUCUCAGCGAAUGAAAGAAGAAGUACAAUGAAAAGAAGAAUUCAAUCCAGAAUCUCUUGCUAGAGUUUCUGGGAGAAUGUUGGUAACCCCAGGAAGAGACAUGGAGGAUUUGGGUGAAGUUGCUUUACCCAAACGGUGCAAAGGCUGUGGUUAUGGAGGGUCAGAGCCACAAACUCCAGAAAAGAGGUAAGAAACACAAGUGAGAGAGGCUUCUGCUGUUAGCUGGGCACCUACAGUGUGCACACAAUAAUCUCAUUUUCGUUUUUCUUUACAGCAGCCUUGUAAAAUGUGUGUGGGCAGCUCUGAGACCUUGGGCAAGUCAUCAAUUUCCUCAUUUGUAACAAGUGAUUUAUGGAAAGCAACUGGUACAUGGUGAAUGCUCCAGAAGUAGUAGUAACUUUACUGAUAUCAUUCCCUUUUUGCUUGAAGCUCUAAAAAGUAACACAUCUCACUGUCCCCACUCUGUUAUACCAGAUGCCUCUCCAAAGGAUGAGAGGGGUCAAGUCAGACUCCUUGGAUAGAGAAAAGGAAAUGGACAUGGAGAAGCAGGUGAU
rnacentral:lncRNA from 1 species